GGAUAAGGAAUUCUGUUAACCCGGAAGAAGGUGUUAGGCAUUCCCAAAAAUGCCCACCCGAGUUUAAGAAAGUAAUUUAAUUAAAACGCGUCUAAAGAUUCUAACGCAAUAUUAUUUUGGGGAAGGCUGUGAAAUUCACUAAACGCUCCUCUCAUAUUCUAAGUAUUGAAACAAGAUUAAUUAAGCGAGGGCCGCGCCAUUUGUCAUUUUUGUUUGGCACGGCGCACUUCGAAUUUUAAAUAAAAGGCUUCUAACUAAUUUGGGCAGAAACUUACGGUCAUGACCCAUUCCAAAUUAAUCAACUAUGAGUUUUGCCCCAGUAGUAUUCCAUUUGCAUUGUUCUAGGCCAUAUGUACGUUAUGCCCCUUUUUACUAGUAGGCUUGUGGAAUUGGGUUCGACCUUGAACUUGGUCUGACAAUCAAGACCUCUUUGAAAG
rnacentral:lncRNA from 1 species